UUUGUGACACUGAGGAGGGUGGGAGGCCCCGGCGGCGGGGAGGCGCGUGCCUCGGGCGGAGUGAGCGGCCCGCGGGGCGGCGAUGGCGGCGGCAGCGGGGGGUUCGGGCGGGCCCCCGGAGGCGGCCCCCGCGGCGCUGCAGCGGGAGCCCGUGUAUAACUGGCAGGCCACCAAGGGCUCGCUGCAGGAGCGCUUCGCCUUCCUCUUCACCAACGAGCUGCUCAGCGACGUGCGCUUCGUGGUGGGCAAGGGCGGCCCGCGGCAGCCCGGCGGCGGGGGGCCCCCCGGGCCCGGCCAGCAGCGCAUCCCCGCCCACCGCUUCUUGCUGGCCGCCGGCAGCGCCGUCUUCGACGCCAUGUUCAACGGUGGCAUGGCCACCACCUCGGCCGAGAUCGAGCUGCCCGACGUAGAGCCCGCCGCCUUCCUGGCGCUGCUCAGGUUUCUUUAUUCAGAUGAAGUUCAGAUUGGUCCUGAAACAGUUAUGACUACUCUCUACACUGCCAAGAAGUAUGCAGUCCCAGCCCUGGAAGCACAUUGUGUGGAAUUUCUCACUAAACACCUUAGAGCAGAUAAUGCCUUUAUGCUUCUUACCCAGGCUCGAUUAUUUGAUGAACCCCAGCUUGCUAGUCUUUGUCUUGACACUAUAGACAAAAGUACAAUGGAUGCAAUAAGUGCAGAAGGUUUUACUGAUAUUGACAUAGACACACUGUGUGCAGUACUAGAAAGAGACACACUUAGUAUUCGAGAAAGUAGACUCUUUGGAGCUGUUGUUCGCUGGGCAGAAGCAGAGUGUCAAAGACAGCAGCUGCCUGUGACGUCAGGAAACAAACAGAAAGUGCUUGGAAAAGCUCUAUCUCUAAUCCGUUUUCCACUAAUGACUAUUGAAGAGUUUGCAGCAGGUCCUGCUCAGUCUGGAAUUUUGUCAGAUCGGGAAGUGGUAAAUCUCUUUUUGCAUUUUACGGUCAAUCCUAAACCUAGAGUUGAUUAUAUUGACCGACCGAGAUGCUGCCUCAGAGGAAAAGAAUGCAGCAUAAACAGGUUCCAGCAAGUGGAGAGCCGUUGGGGGUACAGCGGAACAAGUGACCGAAUCAGGUUCACAGUUAAUAGAAGAAUUUCCAUAGUGGGAUUUGGAUUGUAUGGAUCUAUUCAUGGACCCACAGAUUAUCAAGUCAAUAUACAGAUAAUUGAAUAUGAAAAAAAUCAAACACUGGGACAAAAUGAUACUGGAUUUAGUUGUGAUGGAACUGCUAAUACAUUCAGAGUUAUGUUCAAAGAACCUAUAGAAAUUUUGCCAACGGUCUCCUACACAGCUUGUGCAACACUCAAAGGUCCUGAUUCCCAUUAUGGUACGAAAGGAUUGAAGAAAGUAAUCCACGAAUCUCCCACUGCUAGCAAAACCUGCUUUUCCUUCUCUAGUUCACCUGGUAACAACAAUGGGCAAAGAAAAGUGUAAAGACUCAGUAAAACCUCCUGUUCCGUCAGGUCCGGUUGUAACUGACAAAAGUGGUGCCCUCACUAUUGCUAUUCAUGCCAAACCUGGAUCCAAACAAAAUGCUAUAACAGGGUGGUAAAUCUCGUGAAAAAGUGGUGAAGAUUUUGGCAUCGAUGACUCCAGAUGAGAUUUUAGAGAAACUGAAAAAAGAAGCUACCAGUUGAGACCAAACAAAAGCAGGAAAUGGAACAAUGUGUCUUGAAAAUCUUUCAUUGAAUGUAAAGAGGAGGAGGGACAUUCUUCAAUGAGAGCACACAAAUGCAUGCUGUGGGUCACUUACAAGAAACAAAGAUUCUUUUGUGUAAAUGUGUAGAUAAAUUUAAGUACAUUGUAAAUUACAA